UUCAAAUGGCGGAAGCACACCAAGGCAAAGGGAGGGGGCAAGUAUUUAAAAAAUAAUCCUCACCUAUGGAAAAACAUAGGUAGUCGAGGAAUCACGAUCAACCUCAGUCGCGGAAGCAGCGAGCAAAGGGAGGGGGCAAGUAUUCAAGAAAGAAUUCUCACCUACGGAUGAACGUAGGUAGACGAGGGAUCACGCCCAACCUCAGUUGCAGAAACAGCGAGCAAAAGGAAGGGGCAAGUAUACAAAAGUAAACCUCACCUAUGGAAGAACAUAGGUAGGCGAGGGAUCACGCUCAACCUCAGUCGCAGAAACAACGAGCAAAAGGAGGGGGCAAGUAUACAAAAGUAAACCUCACCUAUGAGAGAACAUAGGUAGUCGAGGAAUCACACUCAACCUCAGUCGCGGAAACAGCGAGCAAAGGGAGGGGGCAAGUAUUCAAGAAAGAAUCCUCACCUACGGAUGAACGUAGGUAGACAAGGGAUCACGCCCAACCUCAGUCGCAGAAACAGCGAGCAAAAGGAGGGGGCAAGUAUACAAAAGUAAACCUCACCUAUGGAAGAACAUAGGUAAUCGGGGAAUCACGCUCAACCUCAGUCGCGGAAACAGCGAGCGAAGGGAGGGGGCAAGUAUUCAAAAAAUAAUCCUCACCUACAGAUGAACGUAGGUAGACGAGGAAGCACGCUCAACCUCAGUCGCGGAAGCAACGAGCAAAGGGAGGGGGCAAGUAUUCAAAAAAUAAUCCUCACCUAUGGAAGAAUAUAGGUAGUCGAGGAAUCACGCUCAACCUCAGUCGCAGAAGCAGCGAGCAGAGGGAGGGGGCAAGUGUUCAAAAAAUAAUAAUCCUCGCCUAUGGAAGAACAUAGGCAGUCGAGGAAGCACGCUCAACCUCAACCACGGAAAUAGCAAAUUGAGGGAGGCAAGAGACCUCAAAAGAGAGAACUUCACUUAUAAAAAUAGGUAGAAGAGACAACUCUCAAACCCAGUCACAGGGAAGGGGACUCGAACAUUGCUCGGAGAUGGCUCAGGCAAGGCGUCAAGGUGGGCAAGCAGGGUUCCGCUCGAAAAUCGGGCCAGGCAGGUGCGCAAGGAGUAUGCUUCGGCUAGGACAAAUCGGACAAUAGUUGGCAAAAGCGCGUGACAACCUCCGUGGAAGCAUAGAUACAACCUCGCAGGCGUAGAAGUGGGGGAGAACUGGUGAGAGAGGAUCUCGCAUCCUGGGACAUCACCAAAAACCCACACCUCAGCACGCAAAGAGGGGGGGAAUACUGAUAGUACAAGGUCCAACACACAGACCAUAGUACUAAAAGACGUAUCCCAAGGUAUCUAAUACGCAGAGGAGGAGGGAAUACUGGUGAUACAGCAUCCCGAACCCGGUCACAACCUACCAGCAACUAGAAGUCCGGAUAGCCUAAGAUGAGUUAAGGUACCUAUUCUAGGGUUGGGGAGGUCCCAAGUCGAAUCCUAGGAAGAUCGACUUUCCUGAGCAUCGACUUCCCUGGGAUCGACUUCUGAAUAAAGUCGAUCACCAGGAAAGUCGAUCCCCAAAAAGUCGAUAUCUGGAAAGUCGAUCUCUGGAAAGUCGAUCUUGAGCCUCGAUCUGAUCAGUUAGGCAGUUACUGCCCAAAUGACCAGAUUACCCCCAUAAGAACCCCUAUAAAUAGGAGGCAUCCCCACUCAUUAAAGGCAGGUCAUUUGGAGCGAAAAGAUUCCUAGCGAAGCAGAGCUCUGCGCACUUGAGUUCCGGUCCGGUUUCCCGCGGAGUUCCCCGCUUGGCGCUUGCUUGCGCGUCUUGGAGUACUGGUCGGGUUUCACUCCCAUCACUCACCACAGAGAAUACAAGUAUUGUUUUGAUUUGUAGACUAUCUUUUUGUGUUUUUGCAUAUUCUUUGGUAGGUAGAUUCCUCUAUCUAGCUCUUCAAAGGUAUUUGAAUAAUUUAUGAACCCCAUUAAGUUAUUAACCCAGAUACCCUUGGGAAACUAUCAGGCAAUUCCUUUUCUUUAAACAACUCCUAUAUCCUUUUGAAUGAAAGCGAUCCAUUCCACUGCUAAGUGAAAUAGUGAAGUCAAUGGUUUGGUUUAUACUUCCGUCGAUUCACUCCCUUCGAUCCAACACUUCCCUUUGAUAUGCCUUUGAAUGUUAUUACAUUGUUUGACCUUGGUAUAUCUCCCCCUUAUCUACCUUGUGUAUAUGGUAUUUUCUAAUGUCAUUGAUCUGCUUAGGAUUUAGUCAUAGAAGUUCCACAAAGCACCUCUAUAUCUCUGAGAUCUAAUCCACCUUUUGCAAAUGGUUUGGAACAAUAGAGCCACCUUGGUGAACCACGUUUGUGGAGGAGCUUAUUAUCCCGAAAGAGUAGAGAAAGGAAAAUAAUCAAAUGUGAAAAAUUGUUGAGUAACUUUUUUUAUAGGAAUAUUUUUUGUAGAAGAAUUGAAGAAAUAGUUUGGAUCCCUAAAUCCAAUUAAAUCCUUCUAAUUUGGUCUUAUGAUGACCAGAUCAUUAUUCAUCAGAAGAGAUGUGGAUUUGUUUGACUAUCAUGAU
rnacentral:lncRNA from 1 species